CGGGGAGGGCAAGCGUUGUUCGGAUUUACUGGGCGUAAAGGGCGCGUAGGCGGUCAGCACAAGUCAGUUGUGAAAUCUCCGGGCUUAACUCGGAAAGGUCAACUGAUACUGUGCGACUAGAGUGCAGAAGGGGCAACUGGAAUUCUCGGUGUAGCGGUGAAAUGCGUAGAUAUCGAGAGGAACACCUGCGGCGAAGGCGGGUUGCUGGGCUGACACUGACGCUGAUGCGCGAAAGCGUGGGGAGCAAACAGG
rnacentral:rRNA from 1 species